UACGAAGGGGGCUAGCGUUGUUCGGAAUCACUGGGCGUAAAGCGCACGUAGGCGGAUUUUUAAGUCGGGGGUGAAAUCCUGAGGCUCAACCUCAGAACUGCCUUCGAUACUGGCGAUCUUAGAGUCCGGGAGAGGUGAGUGGAACUCCUAGUGUAGAGGUGAAAUUCGUAGAUAUUAGGAAGAACACCAGUGGCGAAGGCGGCUCACUGGCCCGGUACUGACGCUGAUGUGCGAAAGCGUGGGGAGCAAACAGG
rnacentral:rRNA from 1 species